GAUGAAUGCUGGCGGCGUGCCUAACACAUGCAAGUCGAGCGGCAGCGCGAGUAGUUUACUACUUGGCGGCGAGCGGCGGACGGCUGAGUAACACGUAGGAACGUGCCCCAAAGUGAGGAAUAACUGCCCGAAAGGGUAGCUAAUGCCGCAUAUGAUCUUCGGAUUAAAGCUUUUAGCGCUUUGGGAGCGGCCUGCGUCGGAUUAGGUAGUUGGUGAGGUAAUGGCU
rnacentral:rRNA from 1 species